rnacentral:misc_RNA from 1 species
CGAAGCUGCUAAAACCUGAGCAAGAGGGUGAACACAAUCAGAGCCAAAAAAAAGUGCUUAAACAUGGCAAAGUCAAUGAGAUCGAAGAGAGAGAAGCGGCUAAGAGCCAUAAGGAGAGAUCUGGUAGAGCCCUUUUAUGACAAAAAAGAUGCAGCCAAGCUCGCUGCUCAAGAAGCUGCUCUUGCUGCUCCAAAGUUGCCCGUAAAACCUUCUCCUUUCGCUUCUACUUCUUCAGCCAUGGACACGACCACGACUGCAACUACUAUCUCAAAUACCAACAUCGAUGUGGAAAUGGCUGAUGACAGUCGAACUAGGAGUACAUUGAAGCCUAUAGGGAAGAAGCUAAAGAAGAAAUUCAAACUGGCAAAGAACAAGCGCCGCGGUAAGGGGAAGAUCAGGAGGAAGCAUAUUUAACUCUGUAAACUGAUAAGGAUCAUGUGUUCAAGUUCUGAUAUUUGUUUGCCAGGUGAAAUGACAGUUUUAUGUUUGAGACUGUUCUGUUACAUUCUGAUAUUCUGAUGCCUUAAUGAUAUCUUCAAUC